UUCUCGAUGAGGAAGAAAGCCCUCGAUAAGAAGUGCCGUAUGACACUCCAAACAGCAGCGGCGCAGUCUCUUGUUUCCCGCAUAAAACCAACGACUCUCCUCUGAUUUGUUUCAAUUUUAUUGAUUCGCUUUCUUAGGGUUCCGUUUGGUUUGUUGGGAAUUGGGAUUAUUGGCUUGCGCCCGCUGUGCGUAUGAUUUGAAAUGGGUCUCUAAGGGUU
rnacentral:snoRNA from 1 species